rnacentral:rRNA from 1 species
CGGGGUGAGUAACGCGUGGGUAACCUGCCUCAUACAGGGGGAUAACAGUUAGAAAUGACUGCUAAUACCGCAUAAGCGCACAAAACCGCAUGGUUUGGUGUGAAAAACUGAGGUGGUAUGAGAUGGACCCGCGUCUGAUUAGCUAGUUGGAGAGGUAACGGCUCACCAAGGCAACGAUCAGUAGCCGACCUGAGAGGGUGACCGGCCACAUUGGGACUGAGACACGGCCCAAACUCCUACGGAAGGCAGCAG